AGUCUUUUAGAUGGAGCCUCCUUUUCCAGAGGCUUGCUGAAAACAUGCUGGAGCCCACUCUUGUUUGGCACAUCCUCAUCAGGGCUGUAUAACUUCCCAGCUGCUGUUCUGACUCCAAGGUCUGCUCUCGAAGGAGUUAUGUUCUCCAUCUUUCAUUGCCAGAGAAGGUGCAGCUGGAGGAUUUGGAAAGAGAAGAUUUGAUCCCUACACAACCCUUGGGGUUCCCCAGAGUGGCAUAGGAUUCCUGCUGGAAAGUGGGAUGACAAAUUUAAAAGGACAUGGGCGCAGUGCCAGGCAGCAAGUCCCCACAUCACCCCACGGUGCAGAGGCACCACUCUUCUCCUUCCUGCUGCCCUGGUUCCUGGCAUGAAGGCAUCCAGCUCAGACAUCCAACUCGGUCCUCGCCUCUCUGCUGGCUUCUGCCCCGGGCUGGCUAAUGAUUGCUGAUGUGACUCUCUGCCAAGGGAUGUGCCGGUUUUGAUCUGGGAAAAUCCUUGCUGUGUUUUACGAGGCGGACAUACGAGGCCGAGGAACUACCAGCACGUACAAACGCCUGCGAUCUUUCUUCAGACAAAGCCUGCGGGCCGGAUUUUCGCCAUCCCCCUCCCCGAGGGAGCAGGGAUCCGUGCUGCUGUUUGCGGCCCCGGGCAGAGCCCGCAGCCCGGCCCGGCCCCGGGCGAGACGCGCCGGGUCCGCUCCGCUCCGGCUCUGGUUCUGGUUCUGCUGUGUCUCUGCAGCCCCAGCAGAGCAGCCGGAGAGGCUCUGCACCGCUUCACUGCUCUAACGUGGGGAAUGAACUGCACUGACCCAGAGCAGGCUAAAUCUCCUCUCCUGUUUUGCCACC